CCACCAAACAAAACCAAAACAACAACAACAACAAAAAACAAAAAACCAAAAAAAACAAACAAAAAACCCCCAAAAAAAACCGCCUGAAAAAGUAGUAAGAAAUAAUUCAAAGUGCUAAAAAAGAACCUCAGUUCAUAUUACCAUCAUUCUUUAAGCUUAUAUUUUGCUAUAUUCAAAUGAUUUAUAAAAAUGCAUGUUUUGAGGAAGCAAGUCAAACAGACUUUCUUAUGAGCUGAAUCACAAAAGAGCAUGUGUAUUUGAAAUAUUUUGGUCUUAUACAUGCCUUGUUUCCAUUCUCACAGGAGAUCAACUCAUGAUUAACAUAUUUUGCAGGAAAUCAACAUAUUUUAAGAUUUGUCUUCUCUAAGAAUUCCCUUUUUAAUGUUAAUAUAAACAUUAUUAAUUGGCCACGGAGCUUAUAUAUAUUAUACUCCUACAAGCUUUUCCAGCUGAUUAAAACAUUGUGAAAUCUGCAACUUUUGGAUACCUAAGUUUGAUCUCACAUUUUUAAUGUCUGCUCAUUUCUCAGUGGAACAGUUACAGAGGGUUCUUUUCUUAAGACCACGUAAAUAUUAUAUACAAUAGAUAGCACUCAUACUCUUUUACAGUUUCUGAAGGGAGUUACAAAUGUCAGUAUUAUUAGUUUACUAAUAAUACAGCUACGGCUGUUUUCCAAAUAUAAGCACAGGACAUGAUGAAUCACUCUUUAUCCAUUUAUACAGAAGGUAGCUUUUCUAGAGAAGACUCAUAUUGCUUCAUAGUGCUUGAAAUAUUAAUAAGGACUGAUUUGUAAACAGUUCUGUAUCUAAAAUUAAGAGUGGAAAAAAUAUUAAAAACUUUAAAAAGUUGAAAAAUUACUGAUAUUAAUAAGGAAAGAUGAUCUAAUUGGAAAAAGAAAUCCUCUUUAAAGGCAUAGGGAGAGAUCUGGAAAUGUAGGGAGUCAGAAUUACCAAAAGAGUGCUUUUUGCACAUUAUAUGGGACUACACACACAAGUUUACACUGUCUUGAGCAGUGAGAUAUCUUAAAGAUAAAAAGAAAUUGGAAGAGCCUGACUUACCAGACUUCCCAGACAAAAGAUAUGUUAUCUUUAAUCUUUCUCAUUCAUCCUGACAGGAGACAUUGUCCUGAAAACCUUUACAUCAAUAUCUGAAGAUACUGUUCAUGUCUCCCAGAUGUCUGAAGAUAUGUUAUCAAAGUAUCUCAUUUUGUGAACCAAACUACCUCCUUUUGUACACUGGACCAAUCUCAUUCAAUUUUUGGAUACAGGCUAAUUAGGGACAAGACUUAAGUGCAAAAAGUCAUAGUAUUGUGACACUAACUGCAGCUAGUGAUAUCUGACUUGCCACUUAUUCAGCUGAAUAUCCAUUUAUCAUUUUGUACUUGAGUCUUACUUUAUCUCCAGAAUAUUUCGAAAAUGCAUUGAUAAAAA